rnacentral:rRNA from 1 species
UACGUAGGGUGCGAGCGUUGUCCGGAAUUACUGGGCGUAAAGAGCUCGUAGGUGGUUUGUCGCGUUGUUCGUGAAAACCGGGGGCUUAACCCUCGGCGUGCGGGCGAUACGGGCAGACUAGAGGUAUGCAGGGGAGAACGGAAUUCCUGGUGUAGCGGUGGAAUGCGCAGAUAUCAGGAGGAACACCGGUGGCGAAGGCGGUUCUCUGGGCAUUACCUGACGCUGAGGAGCGAAAGUGUGGGGAGCGAACAGG